GCUUACAGCCACACCACCCUGAACACGCCCGAUCUCGUCUGAUCUCGGAAGCUAAGCAGGGCCGGCCUGGUUAGUACUUGGAUGGGAGACCGCCUGGGAAUACCAGGUGCUGUAAGUU
rnacentral:rRNA from 1 species